rnacentral:rRNA from 1 species
AGAGUUUGAUCCUGGCUCAGGACGAACGCUGGCGGCGUGCUUAACACAUGCAAGUCGAGCGGUAAGGCCCUUUCGGGGGUACACGAGCGGCGAACGGGUGAGUAACACGUGGGUGACCUGCCUUUAGCUCUGGGAUAAGCCUGGGAAACUGGGUCUAAUACCGGAUAUGACCUCAUGGUGCAUGUUGUGGGGUGGAAAGCCUUGUGCGGCUAGGGAUGGGCCCGCGGCCUAUCAGCUUGUUGGUGGGGUGAUGGCCCACCAAGGCGACGAUCCGUAGCUGGUCUGAGAGGACGACCAGCCACACUGGAACUGAGACACGGUCCAGACUCCUACGGGAGGCAGCAGUGGGGAAUUUUGGACAAUGGGCGCAAGCCUGAUCCAGCCAUGCCGCGUGAGUGAAGAAGGCCUUCGGGUUGUAAAGCUCUUUCGGCGGGGACGAAACGGUCCGUGACAACACCACGGACUAAUGACGGUACUCGCAGAAGAAGCACCGGCUAACUACGUGCCAGCAGCCGCGGUAAU